GUCACCAGAGCGAUGCCACAGUCCAUACAUACUGUCACCAGAGCGAUGCCACAGUCCAUACAUACUGUCACCAGAGCGAUGCCACAAUCCAUACAUACUGUCACCAGGCCGCUGCUGGACAUUUCAUGACUAAGGUUGUGCGAGUUCUGCGACUGAACUGCACUGUAACCGAUUGCAUAGUGUGUAAGAAGACCCCUCAUGGAGAAGACCAGAGAGACCGGGGAAGCCCUUAAGACUCCAGUGAAGCAGGCAGAGAGCCGGUGAUGGACACUGUGGUGUCCAAAACCCUUCUUUAUACUCAGUGGGUUUGCGACGUCAGCCAUAUUGGAAGUUCUUUAACAAACAUCAGCAAUAGUAACAGAUUAUAUUCACAGAUUGCACCAAACGACCAUUCGGUCCUUCCCUGCCUUGUCAGAGUUUUAGUUCCUGGAUACAACUUGUAUAUAUGUGUUUUAUUUUUUAAACAAAACCAAUAUCUCCUUCCUGUGCUCUGCUUGGCCAGCGGGUCAUGCAGACAUUGCAUGGAGGGCUUUGCAUGUAAACUGAAAGCAGUUGGAACAGGAUGCAUUUCAUUCCCUAAAUGUGUCUUAAAUCACUUCAAAGCUUUUCUUUAAAGUAAGACAUGGGACCCUAAAGUAGGGCCCAUUACACCAGGUACCCUGGGAGGACUCUUAACUCUUAACUUAAGUAAGUGCACAGUGUUCUUUAAGGGGCGCUAUCUCAUGUGGGAUUGUUCAAAUAAAUUGCAAUGCUUCCCAUCAAACAAAUUAUUUUUGUGAUUUGUGAGUGAAUGAAGUUGAAACUUGAGUCUUGAUCUACUUACUCAUAUUGAUGUAUGAUUCAAUACGUUUAAAAUGAAGAAAAUAAUACACCCAUUACCAUGUUGACAGCAGAGGUUAGACACAUCAACACGUAAAGUAGUUCACAGGAAUGGAGCUAAUUAUUCCAAGUACAAGGAAAACCAAAUAGAAUACAAAUUAAUUACA